GACCCUGUAGACAAAGGUACUUGUUUAUAGAGGCAGAAUUCCAGGAUUUAAAAUAGCAGCUGUUAAAGUUCAUGUAUAGUUUAGCUGAAAUGAUGAUGUCGUAUAAUAUUGAUUGCAUGUUUGCUUUCAUCAAUAAAAUGUCACUAGAGGAAAAUGCUCAUUAACAUUUCUUGUAUUUAAAUUUAAAUAUUUAUCCUUUUAUAUUAAUUUCAGUAAGAAAAACAAAAAGACCCACUUUACAUGACCAGCACCAGUAGACAUUUAGAUCUUUAAUAUAAAAAUGUGAUUAAUUUGUAAUGACGGUUUUGGUCCAUGGAUAAUCCCAGCUCUAAUCUCUCUACAACUACAGGUUGUGGAAGACGGCUAUGAGUUCUUUGCCAAGCGACAGCUUGUGACGCUGUUUUCUGCCCCUAACUACUGUGGGGAGUUUGACAACGCGGGCGGCAUGAUGAGUGUGGACGAGUCUCUCAUGUGCUCCUUUCAGAUUCUGAAGCCAUCAGAGAAAAAAGCAAAGUACCAGUAUGGAGGAGUGAAUUCGGGACGCCCCGUCACGCCUCCUCGCACCGCUCAGGCUCCUAAAAAGAGGUGAAUAUUUGGUCCGGACUCUCCUGCUCUCACCCUGGGUGGUCUCUGGCCCUUGUCCCUGCAGGCUGCCUCAAACACUCCAGCCCUCUCUCAGUAAGCUUGUCCAAAUAUAAACACAACCUGCUGGAGUGUUUUUAUUGCUUGUUUUGUGAGUAUUUUUAUGGACACAAGUGGUAUCCCCGUUUUUUUGAUGACAUUGUAUAUUCACUCAGCUUCUCAUUUCUAUAACACAGCCCCCUGUUUAAGAAACAUUUUUUUCUCUGCCUUCAGGUUAACAACUUCUAUUGUGAAUGCAUGCACGAUUUUAAUUUUUUCCCUCCGCCUUUGGUAAUGAAACUUUUAACGACAGGGUCAAAUCGUUACUGUUAGACCUCAACCUGCCUAAUGUGUGUGUAAUUCACCUGAGAACUGCCAUUGUUUCCUUUUUAAUUAGGACAACAGCAAAAAUAUCAGUACUGUGCCAUAGUCCUAGGUCACCAUUACUAGUAUUUAUAAUUAUUUCUACAACCUUAUGUGUCCUCCCCCUGCAUUUGAACAGCAGGACCUGGGUUCUUUUAAACCUAAAUGAAUGGAACUCUUCUAUUAGUAACCUUUCUUUAUCCAACUAUUGCCAUGUUUGAGCAUUAAUUAAUAAGCUCCAAAUCUUUCAAUCACAGUUCAAAAUGUCAAAGAUCACAGAAUCGAACGGCAAAGCCAGUGGUGGCCCAGGUCUUUUUGCACAGUACCGUAAGCUUUUUUUUCGACUUGAGAAUGUUAUAGGAAAUCGAUAAAAUCCUGAGAUUUUGACGAUAAAAGUGCAAUAAAUAUCACUAGAAAACAAAACACAAACAUUGCAACAGGCCAUUAAAGCCAGCCAAGCUUGUGUACCUUUCACUAGGACGUUCAGAUACUAAAAUAACCUGCACUGAAAACUGUUUUUAACUCCUUCAUAUCAUUGAACCAGCAUUUGUAGUUGUUGAAGAGCAUUAUUUUCCAAUCAUGGUGUGAAAUAGCGAGAAAGAAAGAAACGAAGCAGUAGUAUUAAAAGGUUCCUUUUUGUUGUAUGUCGAAAUGUGGGAAGUAAACAUCAGUGAGCUAACACUACAGAAAUGUAGUGAUGGAUGACAUUAAAUUGUAGCGUAUAUAAAAGGGAAGAGCUAACACAAGGUUACAGUACUGAAGAUUGAUUAUCUGUAUAAAUAUUUAUACAACAACAAUAAAAGUGCUGAUGCACGUCAUCCAUCACAUAACAUUGUGAAGCAGUCCGGACGCUAUUGCCUCCUGUUGGCUUGUUAUAUUACACUGUUUCCACCUGGUGGUUUUUGAGUGAAAUAAACAGAACCUGCUUUCAGCUCGUGUCUGAUCAAGAAUGUGUGGUGUGUGUUUACGCGUCUGUCCCUGGAGUCUGAAAUCACCGUGUUCAAACUUAAAACAGGAGAAUAAACAAUUAUGUAAGAAAAAAAAUCUGUGGUUUAAAUCAGAUACAAGAUUCAAUAAAAUUGAUUUAAUUCAGAAGAUGA